rnacentral:rRNA from 1 species
AUAUCAAUAAGCGGAGGAAAAGAAACUAACAAGGAUUCCCCUAGUAACUGCGAGUGAAGCGGGAAAAGCUCAAAUUUAAAAUCUGGCGGUCUUCGGCCGUCCGAGUUGUAGUCUGGAGAAGUGCUUUCCGCGCUGGACCGUGUACAAGUCUCUUGGAACAGAGCGUCAUAGAGGGUGAGAAUCCCGUCUUUGACACGGACUACCAGUGCUUUGUGAUGCGCUCUCAAAGAGUCGAGUUGUUUGGGAAUGCAGCUCAAAAUGGGUGGUAAAUUCCAUCUAAAGCUAAAUAUUGGCGAGAGACCGAUAGCGAACAAGUACCGUGAGGGAAAGAUGAAAAGCACUUUGGAAAGAGAGUUAAACAGUACGUGAAAUUGCUGAAAGGGAAACGAUUGAAGUCAGUCGCGUUAGCCAGGACUCAGCCUUGUUUUUACUUGGUGCAUUUUCUGGUUGACGGGCCAGCAUCGAUUUUGACUGCCGGAAAAAGAUUGGGGGAAUGUGGCACCUUCGGGUGUGUUAUAGCCCUCAGUCACAUACGGCGAUUGGGAUCGAGGACCGCAGCACGCCUUUAUGGCCGGGGUUCGCCCACGUUCGUGCUUAGGAUGCUGGCGUAAUGGCUUUAAACGACCCGUCUUGAAACACGGACCAAGGAGUCUAACAUGCCUGCGAGUGUUUGGGUGGAAAACCCGAGCGCGUAAUGAAAGUGAAAGUUGAGAUCCCUGUCGCGGGGAGCAUCGACGCCCGGACUUGAACUUCGGUGAUAGAUCUGCGGUAGAGCAUGUAUGUUGGGACCCGAAAGAUGGUGAACUAUGCCUGAAUAGGGUGAAGCCAGAGGAAACUCUGGUGGAGGCUCGUAGCGAUUCUGACGUGCAAAUCGAUCGUCAAAUUUGGGUAUAGGGGCGA